AUUUUCCUUCCGUCUCAGCGCAACUAUUGUUUGAUGAUCUGGGGAUGUAUUAAUUACAAUGACGUGAAAAAUAUAACUGUUAUUGACGGGAACAUAAAUGCCUUAAAAUACUUUGACAUAAUUGACAACAAAGUGUGGUCAAUGAUUAUUAAAUUCAGAAGAGUUUUUAAACUCGACGUCGAAUAAUCUCACAAAAAAGGAAACAAAUAUUUCGGCGACUUUUGUUAGCAGGUAUACUCGAAUGACCAUUAGGAAAAAAGCGAAUGAUCAAUAUCAAGGUAACCAAUUUUACAUUUAUUGUACCUAAUAUAUCUGCACUGUGUGGUGUGAUCUAAUUUUGUUGAAAAAAAUUGACAAAAAAAAGUAGGCACGUAAAACAUCUCAAUUAUUAUCAAUUUCUAAUAAAACAACGUUUUUCUAUUGCAACGAAAGUCCUUUCAAAGUCCGAACCAAUGACAAGGUUUAUAAAAAAAUAAAUCAGCGCUUUUAUGAAAAGAUGUUCUCAAUGAACAUAAUAAAAGAGGAACGAAAGAUACAAGAGGGACAGUCAAACUCAUAAAUCGAAAAUAAACUGACAACACCAUGGCUAAAAAUAAAAAGUUCAAACAGACAAACAAUAGUACACAUGAUACAACAUAGAAAACUAAAGAAUAAACAACACGAACCGCAUUUAUAAUUAUACCUUCACAUUUCACACAAUUAGUUGUUAACCCAUUCGAACAAAAAGAACUGCAUUCUUAGCUGUUUAUUAUUUUGAACAAAAGCCUUAUGAAAAAAUUAUAAAGUAUGCACUGUUUUCUAUUAUACAUUGAUAACUUACUUCAUCAAUUUACAAUUAUUGACUUAGUUUUAUUAUUAAUUUCAGAAAAAAUGAUCAUCUUGUGGAAUAAUCUCACAAAAGUAGAAGCAAAAAUUUCGGCGACUUUUUUAACAGGUAUAUUCAAAUGACCGUUAGAAAAAAGCGGAACAUCAAUAUUAUGGUAAUCAACUUUACGUUUAUUCUACCUAACAUAACGACACUGUGUGUUGUGAUUUAAUUUUGUUGAAAAAAUUGACAAAAAAAAUUAGCACGUAAAACAUCUGAUAAAUAAGCAAUAUCGAAUAAAACAACGUUUCUCUAUUGCAAGAAAAGUGUUUCACAAGUUGAAACUAGGGACAAAGUGUGAAGAAAUACAAAACAGCGCUUUUAUGAAAAGACGUUUUCAAAGAAUAUCACAAUUAUACAAUCACAUUUCACACAAUAAGUUGUUAACCCAUUUGAACAACUAUAACUGCAUUCUUAGUUGUUGAUAAUUUUUGUAAAAAAAAAAUGGCCGAAAAAGGUAUAAAGUGCGCACUGUUUUUUUUUUACCUUAUACAUUAAUUACCUACUUCAUCUAUAAAUAAUUAUUGUAUACUUUUUAUUUUCAUUAUCAGAAGAAUUUUCAAACUCGUGGAAUAAUAUCUGAAAAGAGGAAGCAAAAAUUUCGACGACUUCUUUUUAGCAGGAAUAUUCGAAUGACCGUUAGAAAAAAAGAGAAACAUCAAUAUCAAGAUAAUCAAUUGUACAAUAACUCUAACUAAUAUAACGGCACUGUGUGGUGUGGUAUAAUUUGGUGAAAAUAUUGACUGACAAAAGUGGGCACGUAACACAUCUCAUCAAUAAGCAAUUUCCAAUAAAUCAACAUUUUUAUUUUGCAAGGAAAGUCCUUACUAAGUCAACCAAAGUGACAAAGUUUGCAGAAAAAUAAAUCAGGGCUUUUCUGAAAAGCUGUUUUCAUUGAAGAUACAUGUAGCAAUUAUACAGUAUUCUGCCAUAAGUAUUCGUAAAAACAACAAUUGCGGUCACGUCAUGGAAGGUUAAACAAGUUUUGGCCGUCGUCUCCAUGUCACAAUCUGGAUGACCGUGAAUCUAAAUUUAAAUAUAAAUUGAUCUGUAGAAAAACAUGUGGUUGUCAUGUGACACGUGCAUGAUGGCAUCAACCUUGUCUUGUAAAUAAAAUGGGUCGAAGGGGAAAAGAACUGACAUCUUAUCAGAAAAGGGAUUUCGCUGCAUUAAAUGAUGCAGGUUACCGAAAAAGUGAAAUAGUCAGACUGACCGGCAUUACACAAAGACCCGUUGACAUUUUUUGAAGAGGUAUGAACAUCGCGGUGAUAUAGAAAACAUACGGAGAUGCAGCAGACCUAAAUCCUUUCAUGACCGGUAUAUGAGAAAAUUUUCCCGUCCCGUAAAAAAAUAUCGCCAUGAAGGUUUAGCUGAAAUUACAAAUAAUUUUAAUGAGAACAUUGAUAGACCUUUCUCUAAAAGAACUGUUGAAUGUAAAAUACAUUUUGAUUGAUUCUGCACGCGGUCAGUUUAAAAAAAAAUAUCGUAUAUGUGAGAUCAAUUAGAAAAAACGAGUGGCAUACUGCAUAGGAAAUCUACAUAAAAGAGGAAAUGUACACUGGAGUAAAUGGAUAUUCAACGAUAAGUGAAAGGUAGUCAUACGGCAAAAUUCUUCAGCCAAUGUCUAGAGAAGGUCGGAGAAGAGUGGUUGAUGGAUUGUAUUUUCCUUCCGUCUCAGCGCAACUAUUGUUUGAUGAUCUGGGGAUGUAUUAAUUACAAUGACGUGGGAAUUAUUAACUGUUAUUGACGGGAACAUAAAUGCCUUAAAAUACUUUGACAUAAUUGACAACAAAGUGUGGUCAAUGAUUAUUAAAUUCAGAAGAGUUUUUAAACUCGACGUCGAAUAAUCUCACAAAAAAGGAAACAAAUAUUUCGGCGACUUUUGUUAGCAGGUAUACUCGAAUGACCAUUAGGAAAAAAGCGAAACAUCAAUAUCAAGGUAAUCAAUUUUACAUUUAUUGUACCUAAUAUAUCUGCACUGUGUGGUGUGAUCUAAUUUUGUUGAAAAUAUUGACAAAAAAAAGUAGGCACGUAAAACAUCUCUAAUUAUUAUCAAUUUCUAAUAAAACAACGUUUUUCUAUUGCAACGAAAGUCCUUUCAAAGUCCGAACCAAUGACAAGGUUUAUAAAAAAAUAAAUCAGCGCUUUUAUGAAAAGAUGUUUUCAAUGAACAUAAUAAAAGAGGAACGAAAGAUACAAGAGGGACAGUCAAACUCAUAAAUCGAAAAUAAACUGACAACACCAUGGCUAAAAAUAAAAAGUUCAAACAGACAAACAAUAGUACACAUGAUACAACAUAGAAAACUAAAGAAUAAACAACACGAACCGCAUUUAUAAUUAUACCUUCACAUUUCACACAAUUAGUUGUUAACCCAUUCGAACAAAAAGAACUGCAUUCUUAGCUGUUUAUUAUUUUGAACAAAAGCCUAAUGAAAAAAUUAUAAAGUAUGCACUGUUUUCUAUUAUACAUUGAUAACUUACUUCAUCAAUUUACAAUUAUUGACUUAGUUUUAUUAUUAAUUUCAGAAAAAAAUGAUCAUCUUGUCGAAUAAUCUCACAAAAGUAGAAGCAAAAAUUUCGGCGACUUUUUUAACAGGUAUAUUCAAAUGACCGUUAGAAAAAAGCGGAACAUCAAUAUUAUGGUAAUCAACUUUACGUUUAUUCUACCUAACAUAACGGCACUGUGUGUUGUGAUUUAAUUUUGUUGAAAAAAUUGACAAAAAAAAAAUUAGCACGUAAAACAUCUGAUAAAUAAGCAAUAUCGAAUAAAACAACGUUUCUCUAUUGCAAGAAAAGUGUUUCACAAGUUGAAACUAGGGACAAAGUGUGAAGAAAUACAAAACAGCGCUUUUAUGAAAAGACGUUUUCAAAGAAUAUCACAAUUAUACAAUCACAUUUCACACAAUAAGUUGUUAACCCAUUUGAACAACUAUAACUGCAUUCUUAGUUGUUGAUAAUUUUUGUAAAAAAAAAAUGGCCGAAAAAGGUAUAAAGUGCGCACUGUUUUUUUUUUACCUUAUACAUUAAUUACCUACUUCAUCUAUAAAUAAUUAUUGUAUACUUUUUAUUUUCAUUAUCAGAAGAAUUUUCAAACUCGUGGAAUAAUAUCUGAAAAGAGGAAGCAAAAAUUUCGACGACUUCUUUUUAGCAGGAAUAUUCGAAUGACCGUUAGAAAAAAAGAGAAACAUCAAUAUCAAGAUAAUCAAUUGUACAAUAACUCUAACUAAUAUAACGGCACUGUGUGGUGUGGUAUAAUUUGGUGAAAAUAUUGACUGACAAAAGUGGGCACGUAACACAUCUCAUCAAUAAGCAAUUUCCAAUAAAUCAACAUUUUUAUUUUGCAAGGAAAGUCCUUACUAAGUCAACCAAAGUGACAAAG
rnacentral:lncRNA from 1 species